rnacentral:lncRNA from 1 species
UUUUCUAUCACACAAUCGAAGAAGAAGAAGAAGAAGAAGAAGAAGAAACAUAGCAAACAGCAGCAGAAGGAAUCCAUUUGCAACCCACUUCAUAGUCUAUAGCAUAAAAAGAAGUGAAGGCUGGUGCAUCAUCAAGGAAGAAAAGGUUGGGUGUCUCACAGCAUAAACAACUCUCAAGAAUCUGCAACAUCCAAGCCUGCAAGCUCAUCAAUGGUUUUUGCUCCUCAUGCAAACCACCAAGACCCUGCAA